AACAGCUGGAAUCAGCGAGUCCAGCUCUCUAUCAGUGAACGAUAUCGUCGAAGGUCAAAGUUGGCCAUUAGUAAAGUGACGCGUGGUGAAACCCCGGUUGUGAAGUGCCUGUAGUUUCGACGGGCGGUCCUCGCUGCUUCAACCCCUUGUGGACGCGGGUUAUUCAUCAUCCAAUUCAAGAAGUGAACCGUCGAAAGCCUUCAUGUGGAGAAAGCCAAGCUGUAAGAACCAAGCCCGGACCGCGCAGAGAAAUCGUUGCUCGCUGUUCCGUUCCGGACGCUACCUGUGCCUGAAGAAGUUUGCCGGCGUGUAUGAGGGAGCGCUGAACGAGAAAAUGAAGAGUCCCACCCCGGCGAGGAAGCGGUUGUGCUGUGGUACGUGCACGAAUGCAGCUACGAUGAUCAUGUGAGUUUAGAGGUGUGCAAUUCUACUUCUCCUUCCGUACGAAAUGUACAAAAGAAAAUGAAAUUAAAUUAACUAAUUAAGAA